ensembl:snoRNA small Cajal body-specific RNA 12
CCGGCUGAUGACACUAAGGCGAAUGCGACUCCGUGCUCUCUGGUCCUUGGCUCCCUGGGGAUGGAGGUUUUGAAUGGGAUCUGAAAUCUUAGUGGGUGCCUAAGGCCUGGCUCCUCACUGUAAGGCGGAUCCAUAGCACCGCCGGCCUCGCCUCCAUUUCUGCUGCUGCCUCCAGUUCCUGGCAGCUGCCUGCAGGGGGGCCCACAGGUGGGGACCAAAGCGGGACUAGGCACGAGCUAUCUGAGCGCAACCUUGGAUCUGACA